rnacentral:lncRNA from 1 species
UUUUUUUUUUUUUUUUUCUUUUUUUGCUAUUUCUUGGGCCGCUCCGCGGCAUAUAGAGGUUCCCAGGCUAGGGGUCGAAUCGGAGCUGUAGCCGCCAGCCUACGCCAGAGCCACAGCAACACGGGAUCCGAGCCGCGUCUGCGACCUACACCACAGCUCACAGCAACGCCGGAUCGUUAACCCACUGAGCAAGGGCAGGGACCGAACCCGCAACCUCAUGGUUCCUAGUCGGAUUCCACAACCACUGUGCCAUGACAGGAACUCCAAGGGGAUGCUUAACUUUUGCAAAGUGAAUGGGAACCUGGCAAAACCAGGUUCUCGAAUACAAAGAGGCAGGGGUACUUGAAAGCGCUGGGCUCAGCCAAGCCCCCCCUGCCCCUCCUCCUGGCUCUGAGGCCCUCAGGCAGAGCUGCGCAAGUCAGAAGUGGUGGGCAAGGGUUCUGGGCCUACAUACACAGUGGUUAGACGCAAACAAGACAGUGGUACAACUGGCUCACACGACCUCAAGCCACAGCACACGAAUAUGUAUCAGGGAGUUGUUUUAAAUAAUUUACAAGGCGAAAUCUCAUUCCAGGGAAGGAGACCAAAAGGAGAUCAAAGGCUUCCUGAUUGGCAUCCACUAUUAGGGUAAGGGAGAGGCUGACAAAUUCUGGCCUCCCUCCGAGAGCCCGUGCCUCCCCUGUCUGUGCGGGAGCCCCUGCUUGGAGCCCAGUCCACACGCUUUCCUUUAACGUGUUUGAGGUCUGCUUUCAGUUAUUCCACAUCUAUCAACACUGAGAUAGGGAAAAAAAAAAAAAAAUCCCCUGACUUAGCUUUAAGGCUAAACUGGGGCGCUUCUUCCCAACACACGGCUCAAAACACAUGCAUAUGUGGCUCCGUAAAGAGGCAGCCAGCGACUUAGGAAACUCAAAACCUGGUAAAGAGAAAUGAGGGCAUGGUUCUGUUAGGCCUGGGCCAAAUCUCUCUUGAUUUGCUCUGAUCGCUGCAGCUAGUGCUUAUUUUCGUGAUUGGAUUAGAGGCAAGCUUUUCCUCCCAGGCAAAGGCCUUGGGAGGCUCUUUGCUACUCUUUUUCAAUUCUUUGUUAUAAUAAUAGCUACACUCGGUUCAUGAAGUUCUACGUACAUUACGUGCAUUUAAUUCUUACAGAGCUGUGAGGGAGUCCCAUUUAAGGCAGGCGAUGAAAAGGAGUCUCUGAGACGUGAGGCAAUUUCCCCAAAUUCACCUGGCUGCUCAGAGCGAGCUUGGAGGUUGGGUCUAACCACUGUCUAUGUACGCUGGCCCGGAACCCUUUCCCAUGGCUUCUGACUUGGCCAGCUCUGCUUGGGAGCCUGAGAGCCACGAGGAGGGAGGGGGGCUUGGCUGAGCCCAGCUCUCUCAGGUAGUCCUGCCUCUCUGUAUUAGAGACUCAGUCCUGCCCCAGGACUGGCGGGACUGGCGAGCCUUAGUGUCACUGCAGCUGCUAUCAUGGGGCAGCACUGCUCGGCUGGGGGACAUGGAUCCCCCACCUCCCAAUGCCUGCAAAUAGGUUUGGUCCUGGCUUUUCCUACGGGGCCUCAGCCAGCCCCAAGGGGCAGCCGCUUCCAGGGAGAGUUGUUCAUGGCCCCCUAAGAGCGCCCCAGGAUUGUUCACACAGCACAACAGUGACAUCCAGGGGAGAGGCUGGGUGAUGGCAGGGACUACCUGGCCCCAGCUACUUCUGCAGGUUUGGGGCUGACUUACCAACACACAGAUCCUGAAUCAUCAGGGGCUGGACAUCUGGGGGCUUGGGAUCAGAAAUGCCCCCUGCAGCUUGCCGGGGGUCCUUCUACACAGACUACGCACCCUCCCCCUCUUACUCCUACCUCGUCCCGGCCUUUGGCUCCAUGACGCCAGCAUUUUAGGGUAGACAGCUUUAACUUGACCUAGUUGGAUGCAUAGCAGCUCCCCCCCACCCCUCAAACACAUCUCCAUUCAUGACAUCUUUUGUCAGCACCACCUGGUGACAGAGAUGUUUCUGGAAUUAAAAAUGAGCUCAGACCUUCCCCCAAAGAGAAAAGUUUUCCCAAGCAAAUGGCAAAUGUGCUGGGUGUCUUAUGAUUACUAUUAUGUCGCUGUCAUUUUAUCAUUCAUUUUCAUCGUGCUGUUCCUUGUCGCUUGAUCUGAGCUAUACAGAAUAAAGGUUGCCUACAGAAGCAAGGGACACUAUUCCCUGCACACAGAGAAUUAGGCCCUAAACACGUGUGUGCACACACACACACAUGUGCACACACACACACACGCACAUAUGCAAGCAUUUAAACAUCUAAACAGACAGCAAGGGUAACAUAAACAGAAAGGUUGAAAGCAAAAUGCAACGAGACAGAAAACAGAUCCUUGCCUCCGCCGGGGCCACUUUCUGGGGGAGUGUUAGGGCUGGUAUCUGCCUGUCAUGGUCCAGGGCCUGUGGGUGUUGUCUCUGCAGAGCACACUCAGGGAUGCUCCUUGGAUCCCUUGGGAGCUGCAGGGAGAGCUGCUGCCUGCAGCCUGGGCGGCCGGACUUCACUCCCACGGCCCCCUGCUCGCUACCAGCUUUGGCCAGGAGGUGGCAGGGCAGAGAUGCUGCGCCAGACUGAGGCCCAAAGAGGAGGCGAGAAAGGAAACCCGGACUGGGAUGCUGAGCCCUGGUCCUUUGUGCCCCGCCCUGCAUCCUUGCUCAGGGAAGGAACGGGGCCACCGCCAGUCCAGGCUGAGCGACGCUUCAGUUCUAGGGGUUGUUAGGAUCAGGGAGCAACUCCUCUGUAUACUUUGUGGGGUUUGGUGAAAUCUUUCUCAAAGCAUGUGCCCCACAUCCAGGGUCUGGGGCGGGGUGAAACCCCCAGGCCUGGGCAACAGGGAAGGAACAUGAAAGGUAGUUUGCCUCAUCCUGGGAGGAAGGCAGGAAGGAAAGGACACUAGAAACUGCUGCCCAUGGAAGCUGGCGCGGGACUGGCCGCCUGUAUCCCUUUCUCUUCUCCCCAGACUGGAAGGUGCACCUGAGCAUCCCGCCUGCUUUGUCCAGGGCCUUACACAGUGCUGGGCUCAGAGCAGGUACUCAACUACUACUUGACUCGUAGUCAUGGUGACACGAGGUGCUGGAGCAGCUGAGGUGAGCUGUCACUUUCUGGGUGUAGAGGAGACAGUCAGAGAGGGAACAGGCUCAGUUUGGAGCAGGCAGGAUUUAGGUGCAAAUAGAGUUCGGAGCUGAAGCCCCUGGGAGCUGCAGAAGGACGCAUGGCUGCAGACGUAGCUUUGUCUCAGCUCCCAAAAGAAACGAUUGUGACGAUGAGGUGACACUUUGCGGGCUUAGGUGGUGGAGUCCCCCUCGCUGGAGACUUUUCAGAAGAGAAUCUGGCAGAAAAGAUUCCGCAGAUUGAUUUGCUGCAAGAUGCAGGGAUGAGAGUUUCCUUUUGCCAUUAGCAGGUGUUUUUUUUUUUUUUUCUCUCGCCUGUUCUUGCUCUAGAAACAAAAUCGAGCAUGAGCCUAACACCUAAAACACACAAAAGCUGCGAGUCUGAUGGAACAUGGACAAGACCAGAGCUCAGUUAUUUGGACCACCCCCUGGUUGUCAUCUUCUCCUCCAAGGCAUCAUGGGAAAACCCCGGGGCCCUGCUAACAUACGUUUGGAAACUACUGCUGAGGACAGAAGUCAUGGCCCACAGAAUCAGGUGCCAGCUGGUCAUCUGCUGGGUCAGUUUGGGACUCAUCUUCCUGAGCUCUCAAGGGAGAAGAGUGUGGACCGGGUCAGCAGCUCCCACGCCUGGAUGUUCUUCAGACUCCUCGGUGGAGCUUGUUAAAAACACAGAUGCCUCCGACCCCACCCAUUAUCUCAGAACUUCCUGGGAUGACGCUUGAGUAUCUGUAUUUUUCAUCAGCAUUUUGGGAGUCCCUGGGCAAGAGAGAUGCUCCUGGGAGAUGGUCUUCCCCUGCGGGAGUUCCGAGGCUCUGCAGCCCUGCUUUUAACCCUGAGUGCACCUGACUCCGUUCGAGUGAGCUACACUUUCCUCCCAAUAAUAUAUCCAUGGAGCACAGGGCACAGGAAGUCCUGGCAGUCACAGGGACCGCUCAGCAGCUCCACAGUCUUUUCGAGAGGAGCCACACGAGGGGAAAUACAAAGCAGUGGGGUCGUGGAUGAAGGCUCCUAUCUGCAGUAUGUCCCCCACCUACGGCUCCAUGAAACUCUAAUCUCUGAAACACAUCGCGAGCAUGUUCUUGCUCUUGUUAGAGCCAGAACAUCCUCUGGGGGAAGGCUUCCUUUGAGAGUCCUCCGAAAGCAUGUGACUGUAUACACAUGAGGCCAGAAAUAGCAGACCAGACUGGGGAAAGAACACCAAAAGCUAAAUGCCACAGUGGCGGAGAAUCACUGCUGGGGUGAGGUACAGAAGUCCGCAUGUAACUCAAAGUCAUGGCUAGCUAAAACUACCCCUGAAAAUUCCUUAAAUCCCCCAUAAAAUACCACACUGGAUGGCCCUGCAUAUGCUGCUCUGUAUAGUAAUAGCUACAUGCUAAUAAGUAAGAGACGGUGGAGACUUUUUCUUAAAGGGCCAGAGAGUAUUUGAGGUUUUGUGGAUCAUACAGUGUUUGUGACAACUCCCUGGUUCUGCUGUGGUCGCCAGAAAGCAGCCACAGACAUAAAUGAGUGAGCAUGGCUGUGUUCCAAUAAAACUUUGUUAACAAGAACAGGCAGUGGGCCAGUCUUGGCCUUGGGACCAAUUCUCCGAGCCAUAUUUUGUCCCCCCUCUGCUAUAGAAUAUAAUAGAGGGAAGAGCCUAUUUUAAAAAAAAGGAAAAAAAAAAUCUGUCCCCAACCUUUACCAAACAAGGAUGUGGGGUAGGAGAGAGAGGAAUGGAUUCAUGUUUUCCAUCUCAGGCUCACCAGGGCACAUACCUGGACCAGAAUGGCAGGUGGAAUCACCCAAUACGACAGGAUGAAUUGGCCUCUCGUUCCUCAGCACCCAGAGCUGAAUUCCAUAAGCUAUCACCCUUCACAACCAAUAUAGAAAUAGGAAAACCCCAAGUCUGUUUACUUAUUUCUAAUUUCCAUGAGUUAUGCCGCAUCCCAGAGGUUUAGACUACGGCACGUCUAAAUCAUGCCUGGCAGCGAGGGGGCAACGGGAGAAAACUCACUGCUAUCCCUUCAUUUGGAAAACGGAUGUCGCCAGGAGAAAAAUCCGCCCCAGGCAGGGCAGCUGUGGGUGUGGGAGAGAGCAGCAGGGGCUUUCUGAUUGCCAACAUUCGGCGAGAGGAGAGCGCCACUCUGUUUGUUUUUGUAAUGGUCACAGUGCAGAAGCUCUUGUGAAAAGGCUUUCACAUACUUGGCGUCGUAUUUAAGGCAGAGUGACUUAAUGUCAACACUGGUUAGAGGAAGAAGUGAUUCCCAGCUGUGAACAGUGCUUAUUAGGGAACAUAUCAUUUCAGACAAUAGGAAAGAGCCGCACCAUUUGACAGGAAAGUCCAAGCAAUGAGCUCCUGGCUUACUCCUUAGAGAAGGGAGCCCUCGUUGAUAACAAGGGCUUUCUGCUGACCUGUAGGCUGACCUGUACGCUGACCCGUACGCUCACCUGUACGCUGACCCCUGCCUGGCCUGCCCUGAUCUGUCCCUCUGUUUACACCUGUAAGACCAUUUCACAGAGAGAGACCUCACCAAAGGCAGAUGCAGAGCCCAGAGUCAAGAGACCCACGACUUAAGUUCACAGGUGCACAUGGCUUUUAAGGAUGUGGGCGAUGCACACACAGCCCCGAGAGAGGUUGGGGAAGGUCCUCUUCCCUGCUCCCCCUGACCCCCGUCUUCCAAGCUCCACACCAGGAGAGCCACCUUGCCUCCCUGCUCAAACCUGUCUUGAAUUUCCUGCUGUAUCCUGGAGAGGUAGGAGGCAGCUCCAAAGAGUUGGGAAAUAGAUUUAAUGAGAAAUAUUCCCCCAAAGUUCCCAAAUGCUGUGGGUUAUAAAUGAGGCCAUGAAUCACGGGGCCGCCUGUAAUAUUUUAUAAGUGGUGUUGGAAAACUGCUUCUAAUAAACUUGGGAGAAGAUGGAUCACCUUUCUGAAAAAGCAAAAAGGGAUGUUGGAGGCAUAACUAUAUGCAAAGACCAUAUAGUUAAGAAGCAAGGCCCCGUUUCCCUCUCCCUCUGGCAUCCCCAGCCCUCCAGCUGUAAGAGCUUUAUUACUGGGGCUCAGCACACGUUUACAUUUCAGGCGGACUGUGGGCACCAACGUCACAUCUGUUCUUACUUCCCCCACGUGGCCGCAUUCCUCCCCCCAUCACCCCCGGACGUUCCGGCAAACAUCUCUCCUCCCGUCUCGGAGGCCUGAGGGCUGACUGUGUGGGGAGCAGGAGGAAGAGGAGGAAGGAGGGCGGGAGAAGGGGGCAGAGGAUGAGAAAAAUGGCCAAAAGGGUAGAAGAGAAUGAAAAGCCUAAAAAAGGACACCAAAAGGACAGAGAAAAUAUCACAAAGAAGGAAGACAAGAGAAAGGACAGUGAGACAAAAAAAAAAAAAAAAAAAAA